UAUUUCUAACUGUGCAAAGGUAGCAUAAUCAUUAGUCUUUUAAUUGGAGGCUGGAAUGAAUGGUUGUAUGAAAUAUUAACUGUUUCAAUUUAAUUUAAUUUAAAACUUAAUUUUUUAGUUAAAAAGCUAAAAUUUUUUUAAAAGACGAGAAGACCCUAUAAAUCUUUAUAUUUUAUUUUAUAAUUAAUAUUUAGAAAAUUUAGUUUUUUAUGAGAUAAUUUAUUUUAUUGGGGUGAUAUUAAAAUUUAUUAAACUUUUAAUUAAUGAUUUACAUAGAUUAAUGAUUUAUUGAUCCAUUUUUAUGAUUAUAAAAUUAAGUUACUUUAGGGAUAACAGCGUAAUUUUUUUAGAGAGUUCAUAUUAAUAAAAAAGAUUGCGACCUCGAUGUUGGAUUAAGAUAUAAA
rnacentral:rRNA from 1 species